ensembl:lncRNA
CUGAGACUUCAGUCAGCACAGUGUCUGGAGACCUUGUUGAUAUAAGACACAAUAUGGAAGUGAAGCCAUUAAAUCAAGCAGGGUCUGCAACUGUCAUACUGCUAUUUGAAAUGUUAUUGAGACCAGUGAGGAGGAGGACAGAAUACUCCAGGAGUUUUGAAAUACAAUCAGAAUGAAAAAAUAUUGGAAAGAAAUCUGCUUCACAGGACUCUGCACUUGCCUUCAUUGAACCUCAUCUGGAUCCUCUCUGCUGAGCUCUCCAGCCUGUCCAGGUCUUGCUGAAUGGCAGCACAGCCUUCUGGUGCGUCAGCUACUUCAUCCCAGCAAACUUGCUAAGGGUGCACUCUCUCUCUUCAACCCAGUUGUUGAUGAUAUUGAACAAGAUAAUACUCAGCACCAAGCCCUGGGGAACACCACUAGUUACGUGUCUCCAACUAGGCUCUGUGCCACCGAUCACAACACUCAUCCCUGCCAGGCAGCCAAUUCUCUGCCUACCUUACUGUCUACUCAUCUAUUUCAGUUUCUAAGCUUACCUACAAGGAUUUUAUGGGAGUCAGUGUCAAAAGCCUUGCUGAAGUCAAGGUACACAACAUCCCCUGCUUUCUCUUCAUCUACCCAGCUAGUGAUGACAUCACAGAAGGCUACCAUGUUGGUCAAGCAUGAUCUCCCCUCAGUGAACCCAUCAGGUAAAGCUCAGUCACUGAAUCUAUCUACUCCUUCUCCCAUCUCUGCAGCUCCCCUCCCCUCUGAUACUCAAAGCCAAGGCAUGAAGUUACAUCUCUCUAUUUCUUCCAUCAGUUAUUGUGGUAUGUGAGUUCCACUAAGACAUGGGCACGUUCCAAAAAUAACACGCAAAUAAGGACUUCUGUGUUUUCAAGGCCUGACCCAAAAUAUUUAUCUAUCGAGAAGUUGAAAUUCUCACGAGCAAUGGGCGAAGUUUGGAGGAGAGGAGAUCUGCAGCAAGCCUGCUCAUAACACUGAAUCUGAAGCAAGAAGUACUAUAGCAUAAAGAAUAAAGGCUAAACCAUAAACAAAAUGUCAGUAGAAAUCUAUGUGUUAAUAUUAUAACUCACAUCAAUCAUUUUUGUAUUAGAAAGAAGUGAUAAUCAAAGCAUAGGUGUUUAUAGGGAUUACUACAAAUUCUUGAAUGAUUUAUUACUGCCAGCACAGUAAUGAAUUGCUUAUGGUAAACCGGGGAUUCACAGUUUCCCAGAAGGAGUAUUCCCCCACAACAGGAUACAAAUAAUUCCCAUUGACUUCAGCGCUUUUCCUGCUGUGAAGAACUAUUAAUUUAUUGGCUCUGGUGCCAAUUUGAAUUUGCAUCAGGAAAAUGAAAUCCUAAAGAAACAAAUUAAGAAUGCCUGUCUAUUUCUUAAAUCUAUUUCAAAUAUUCCUCUCCCUUAGUUGGAAGGAAAAAAAAAAAAUCUACAUAAAUCAAACUCCUCUACAGAGACCCAAAAUUCUAACAUCAACUAUAAACAAAAAUACAUGGUCAGUAUAGAGCAGAAGGGGCAAUUAAAGCCCUAAGGAGCUGAAAGAUUUGUCAUGAAAGUAAUUGUUUGUUAGCUGGUGAAAUCUGUCCAGGAGACACACAUUUUACAAACAAGAUGCCUUCACCCUGCAGAUGCACAUAGGUGCACACUCCCUCACCAACUUGCAUAGUCACCUCGCUGAAAUUAUGUAUUUGUUUCAUUUAUCAGACAAGAGCAAGUACAUUAAAAAAAAAAAUCAACCCAAAUAGUAGAUUCUUCCUUCUGCUAGGCAUGUGUGUACACACCCAUCCUGUCCAUCUAUAUCACUUGUCUGACAAUUUACCUGGUGCACAAAAAAAAAAGAAAAACUCCUCUUUGAGAACCAUAUGUGGAGAAAAAUCAUUGCUUUCAAGGAGACAUAAAUGGUAAUAUUUAAGACCAGCAGAUGGGCAAUCAGAGAACUACUGGCAUACCUCAUUAGUUAUCUGAGAUUUCCACUGUAGGAAAGUGCUUUCAAGAGAUCAAUGAAAUGUGCAUGUUUGGUAGCUGAGUGAACAGGACUGGUGUAUAUUUCUUACCUCCUCCUUGCAG